UUCUGAUUUGCAAGGACAUUUGAAUUGGGGGGGGGGGGUUGACAUGCCCCACAGGACGUGUAUAAGCACCCAAGCUACCAUAUGUGCUCCCUCAACUGAAUGCAUGGGCCUUUAUGAGCUCAUUUAUUAAUCUGAACUCCUGAGCUAGCACCUCAAAGAGUCAUGGAAUGUUCUGGAAUGUUCUGGAAUCCAUUCUGAAGAGCCUGAGCUGCAGUCCAUCACAGUAGAACACAUUAGGAAGAACAUCGUCUGAAGUUCAUUUACAGACUCGCAAUGAAGGGCCUAAUUUCUCUCUGUCACAGCCAUCUGAUCUGCAAAACGAAGUAAUUCACCUUCUGAGCUCCGCCACGGAGGGGAUGAAAUGAAACAAGGGGCAUCUGGACCAACUACAACCAUACAGUGAGAUUCUUCAGUUUGGUUUUCUUCCCUUGUUAUGUACAGGAGAAAGAUACUAACAGAAAUAAAAUGCAAAUACCUACUUGGCGUGUAUCACCAAAAACAAAGCUCUAGAAGGGCAGGAUGCUGCCGACUGAUGCUGGAGUGUCUUAUGCACUGUGUGCCCCUUUGCUCUGGGCCAGGCUAAUCCUAUAAGUCUUCUGCCUAUGCUGUUGGAGGAAACGGAGGUCUCCUCCCCACUGGGCUUGUUACAGUGAUCGUUCCCAGGGCAGUUCGCUGAGUAAACACAGAUACACACGGAUGUCCUUCGAAGCAUACUCACAUCAGAUCUCAUCGGAACACAGAAUCUGAAACUCACCAGCCAGAGCCAAAACACCGGCUACAACUGAAGUUUAAAAUAACAAAGGUAAAAGUAUGGAUUUGCCCAGUUU